GGCGCGCCUAACACAUGCAAGUCGAGCGGGGAGAGCGAUAGUUUACUAGAGUUUUCCUAGCGGCGGACGGGUGAGUAACACGUGAAGAACCUGCCUUACAGAGGGGGACAACAGCUGGAAACGGCUGCUAAUACCGCAUAACGUUUAGUUGGGGCAUCCCCGAUUUAAACCAAAGGAGUAAUCCGCGUGUAAGAUGGCUUCGCGUCCGAGUUAGACAGUUGGCGGGGUAACGGCCCACCAAAUCGUACGAUCGGUAGCCGGACCUGAGAGGUUGAACGGCCACAUUGGGACUGAGACACGGCCCAGACUCCUACGGGGAGGCAGCAGUGGGGGAUAUUGCACAAUGGAGGAAAACUCUGAUGCAGCGACGCCCGCGUGAGGGAAAGAAGGUUUUUCGGAUUGUAAAACCUCUGUCUUCGGUGACGUAAAAUGACGGUAGCCGAGGAGGAAGCCACGGCUAACUACGUGCC
rnacentral:rRNA from 1 species